UACGUAGGGUGCGAGCGUUGUCCGGAAUUAUUGGGCGUAAAGAGCUCGUAGGCGGUGUGUCAUCGUCGGCCGUGAAAACCUGGGGCUUAACUCUGGGCGUGCGGUCGAUACGGGCAUCACUAAGAGUUCGGCAGGGGAGACUGGAAUUCCUGGUGAUAGCGGUGAAAUGCGCAGAUAUCAGGAGGAACACCGGUGGCGAAGGCGGGUCUCUGGGCCGAUACUGACGCUGGAGGAGCGGAAAGCCAUGGGUAGCGAACAGGA
rnacentral:rRNA from 1 species